CCUACGGGAGGCAGCAGUGAGGAAUAUUGGUCAAUGGGCGAGAGCCUGAACCAGCCAAGUCGCGUGAAGGAUGAAGGCUCUAUGGUUUGUAAACUUCUUUUAUAUGGGAAUAAAGUGAGGAACGUGUUCCUUUUUGUAUGUACCAUAUGAAUAAGCAUCGGCUAACUCCGUGCCAGCAGCCGCGGUAAUACGGAGGAUGCGAGCGUUAUCCGGAUUUAUUGGGUUUAAAGGGUGCGUAGGUGGUUAAUUAAGUCAGCGGUGAAAGUUUGUGGCUCAACCAUAAAAUUGCCGUUGAAACUGGUAGACGGGAGGAUAUUUGAGGUAGGCGGAAUGCGUGGUGUAGCGGUGAAAUGCAUAGAUAUCACGCAGAACUCCGAUUGCGAAGGCAGCUUACUAAACUAUAACUGACACUGAAGCACGAAAGCGUGGGGAUCAAACAGGAUUAGAUACCCCGGUAGUC
rnacentral:rRNA from 1 species